GGGCCCGCACAAGCAGCGGAGCAUGUGGUUUAAUUCNAAGCAACGCGAAGAACCUUACCAGGGCUUGACAUCCCUCUGAUCGGUGUAGAGAUACAUCUUCCCUUCGGGGCAGAGGAGACAGGUGGUGCAUGGUUGUCGUCAGCUCGUGUCGUGAGAUGUUGGGUUAAGUCCCGCAACGAGCGCAACCCUUAUCUUUAGUUGCCAUCAGGUAAAGCUGGGCACUCUAGAGAGACUGCCGGGGAUAACUCGGAGGAAGGUGGGGAUGACGUCAAAUCAUCAUGCCCCUUAUGUCCUGGGCUACACACGUGCUACAAUGGCCUGUAACAAAGGGAAGCAAGACCGUAAGGUGGAGCAAAUCCCAGAAACCAGGUCCCAGUUCGGAUUGUGGGCUGCAACUCGCCCACAUGAAGUCGGAGUUGCUAGUAAUCGCGAAUCAGCAUGUCGCGGUGAAUGCGUUCCCGGGCCUUGUACACACCGCCCGUCACACCAUGGGAGUCGGGGGCACCCGAAGCCGGUGACCGAACCGCAAGGACGGAGCCGUCGAAGGUGAAAUCGAUGACUGGGGUG
rnacentral:rRNA from 1 species